GUAGGUGGCAAGCGUUGUCCGGAAUUAUUGGGCGUAAAGCGCGCGCAGGCGGUUCUUUAAGUCUGAUGUGAAAGCCCACGGCUCAACCGUGGAGGGUCAUUGGAAACUGGAGAACUUGGGUACAGAAGAGGAAAGCGGAAUUCCACGUGUAGCGGUGAAAUGCGUAGAGAUGUGGAGGAACACCAGUGGCGAAGGCGGCUUUCUGGUCUGUAACUGACGCUGAGGCGCGAAAGCGUGGGGAGCAAACAGGGAUUAGAUACCCUGGUAGUCCACGCCGUAAACGAUGAGUGCUAAGUGUUAGGGGUUUCCCGCCCCUUAGUGCUGCAGCUAACGCAUUAAGCACUCCGCCUGGGGAUACGGCCGCAAGGCUG
rnacentral:rRNA from 1 species